AUUGAACGCUGGCGGCAGGCCUAACACAUGCAAGUCGAACGGUAACAGGAAGAAGCUUGCUUCUUUGCUGACGAGUGGCGGACGGGUGAGUUAUGUCUGGGAAACUGCCUGAUGGAGGGGGAUAACUACUGGAAACGGUAGCUAAUACCGCAUAACGUCGCAAGUCCAAAGAGGGGGACCUUCGGGCCUCUUGUCAUCGGAUGUGUCGCGAUGGGAUUAGCUAGUAGGUGGGGUAACGGCGCACCUAGGCGACGAUCUCUAGCUGGUCUGAGAGGAUGACCAGCCACACUGGAACUGAGACACGGUCCAGACUCCUACGGGAGGCAGCAGUGGGGAAUAUUGCACAAUGGGCGCAAGCCUGAUGCAGCCAUGCCGCGUGUAUGAAGAAGGCCUUCGGGUUGUAAAAUGCUUUCGGCGGGGAGGAAGGGAGUUGAGUUAAUACCUUUGGUCAUUGACGUUACCCGCAGAAGAAGCACCGGCUAACUCCGUG
rnacentral:rRNA from 1 species